rnacentral:rRNA from 1 species
CAGCAGCCGCGGGAAUACAGAGGGUGCGAGCGUUAAUCGGAUUUACUGGGCGUAAAGCGUGCGUAGGCGGCUUCUUAAGUCGGAUGUGAAAUCCCUGAGCUUAACUUAGGAAUUGCAUUCGAUACUGGGAAGCUAGAGUAUGGGAGAGGAUGGUAGAAUUCCAGGUGUAGCGGUGAAAUGCGUAGAGAUCUGGAGGAAUAACGAUGGCGAAGGCAGCCAUCUGGCCUAAUACUGACGCUGAGGUACGAAAGCAUGGGGAGCAAACAGGAUUAGAUACCCCAGUAGUCCCUGUCUCUUAUAC